rnacentral:rRNA from 1 species
ACGGGAGGCAGCAGUGAGGAAUAUUGGUCAAUGGGCGGAAGCCUGAACCAGCCAAGUCGCGUGAAGGAUGAAGGUAUUAUGUAUUGUAAACUUCUUUAGACGUAGAGAAAUAAGGAGGUCGUGACCUCUGAUGCUAGUAUACGUAGAAUAAGGAUCGGCUAACUCCGUGCCAGCAGCCGCGGUAAUACGGAGGAUCCGAGCGUUAUCCGGAUUUAUUGGGUUUAAAGGGAGCGUAGGCGGGCUGUUAAGUCAGCGGUCAAAUGUCAUGGCCCAACCUUGGCAUGCCGUUGAAACUGGCGGCCUUGAAUGUGCGCAAGGAAGGUGGAAUUCGUCGUGUAGCGGUGAAAUGCUUAGAUAUGACGAAGAACCCCGAUUGCGAAGGCAGCCUUCUGGAGCAUGAUUGACGCUGAGGCUCGAAAGUGCGGGUAUCGAACAGGAUUAGAUACCCUGGUA